rnacentral:rRNA from 1 species
AGAGUUUGAUCCUGGCUCAGGAUGAACGCUGGCGGCGUGCCUAACACAUGCAAGUCGAACGGGAAUCUUCGGAUUCUAGUGGCGGACGGGUGAGUAACGCGUAAGAAUCUAACUUCAGGACGGGGACAACAGUUGGAAACGACUGCUAAUACCCGAUGUGCCGAAAGGUGAAACCUAAUUGGCCUGAAGAAGAGCUUGCGUCUGAUUAGCUAGUUGGUGGGGUAAAGGCCUACCAAGGCGACGAUCAGUAGCUGGUCUGAGAGGAUGAGCAGCCACACUGGGACUGAGACACGGCCCAGACUCCUACGGGAGGCAGCAGUGGGGAAUUUUCC